rnacentral:ncRNA from 1 species
CCCGUGGUGGUCAAUUUUAGGAGUUUGGCCGGCCCGCAGCGAUACUGACGUGCAAAUCGUUCGUCUGACUUGGGUAUAGGGGCGAAAGACUAAUCGAACCGUCUAGUAGCUGG